ACAUUCUCAUCAGCAACAUUGGCUCAGAUUGCCGACUUCAGAUUCUAGAUGUUUAUCCAGAAGAUGAGGGCCAGUACACUUGCACUGCCACUAACACUGCUGGUGAAACCUCCACAAGCUGCUACAUUGCUGUUGAAGGUGCGCGGAGCGGCCAGCAUGCAAUGGUCGACUGAGGGUGCAUGGCAUGUCACACUGACACUAGCCUGUUCAUCUGUGUGCUAACCAGGACUUAACUCUGCCAUGGGUCGAAGGCCAUAUAUCAUGUUCAUAUACUGUUUAUCCAGCAUGUGUUGGUUUCAAAACGUUCUCGAAUAAUAUUCCGUAUAGCCAGCAUGUAUUGUGCCAAAUUUAAAAAAAAAUUAAGUAUGCUUCAAUGAACAUUGCUGAACAAUAUUCUCUUUUUUAAUUUUAUUAUUUUAUUUUUACUUGGGUGAGACACACAUCCCAUGAUGAAUGAUACUGUGUAACUGUGUACUUAAUGUGUCACCUAUAUAUAUUACUCAUACUUGGUAUUUCCACGACUUGUGUAUGCUUCAUUAUACAGUCUCGCCAUAGAGACUCGUCAUUCUGCAUUUCGAGUACGGUGUUAAAGGACAGAUCAUUUGUAAACAUUUUGUUAUCUUGAAAAAAAUAGUGACAUGACCAUAUGUCUUCCUGAUUAGUUUGUUUGAGGCCAAGGAUCGUGCAUAUUAUCGUAAAAUGUAUAUACAUAGAGUUCGUAAUCUUGGUCCUGUUGUGGAAGUUGUUUUUUUUUCAAAAAUAAAAUCAAGACGGUUGCA